UAAGUGGGAGGGCCAGGAAAGAAGCCAAGCAGAAUGAUCUUGCUUUUGAAUCCAUCUUCAGCAGGUCAGAGAGCAGCUCUCCUCGACGAGAGAGAAAGAAAAGCUCAAAGAAGAAGAAGCACAGGUACGAGGUGGGACUACUUGAAUGAUUGGAGAAGGUUUGCUGAAUUCAGGCAGAGGUGUUUCUUAUGUUUUUUCUUUUUUUUCCAACAGGUCAGAAUCUGAGUCCAAGAAACGUAAGCAUAGGUCUCCCACUCCAAAGAGCAAACGUAAAUCUAAGGACAAAAAGCGAAAGCGGUCUCGAAGUACAACACCAGCCCCCAAGAGUCGCCGGGCCCACCGUUCAACUUCUGCGGACUCUGCUUCCUCCUCCGAUACUUCCCGCAGUCGGUAAGGGGUAGUCCAGGAGGAAGGGAGGGAGAGAGGGAAUGAUGGGUUAAUUAAUUUAAUAUUUAUUGAGCGCCCACGGUGUGCUAGGCGCUGCACAGACCAUUCGGAAGACACGGUCCCUGCCCUCUAGGAGCUGACAGGCUAAAGCAACAGGAUGGACAGACAUAUACAUUUCCCCUUCUCU
rnacentral:sRNA from 1 species